GACUAUGGACCUCUGUGUGGACUCACAUCCUGAGUACUGUUUGUCUUCUGAUGAGGAAAUGAUCAGGACAUGGCAAAAUAACAGAAAGGCCUCCCUUGGAGGACUCUACUCCUAAAUACCCAGGGUUUGGAAGUCCAGAAGUCCAGAUUAUCUGCUGUCAGACAUCUCUGCCUCUGCACUGUCCCAAAUGUCCCUCCCUCGCCUGGCUUUGAAAAGAGCAUGCUUGUUAUUACAGAAAGAAUGACCUCCAUUAAGGAAAUUAAGAGGAUCCUGUUGGGGAAGCCCUUUCUGCAGAUCCUGAUGCCUUCCAGCACACCGUUACAGCGAAGCUGGUGCAUCACCAGAGGGUUCUCCAUGGCCCCAGGAGUCUUGGUCUCAUUGGGGAUGAUGCAGCGCACAAAGUGAGGCUGUCUAGAUCCCUGUGGAAAUCUUCAUCUGCGUUGUGUGUCCCCUUCCUGGCUUUCAUCUCCUUCUCACUGUACCAGCACAGAGUCAGAGCCAGACUCCUCUAAGUGCAAGAACGUGUGAGUCAGUGCCUCCACUGAGCUGCUGCAGAUGCAUCAGUUACUUUGGAGACAAAGGGAACCACAGCACAGGAGAUCCCAAAGCUCUUAGGUGGCCGUCUGUGAGUUUCACUCCUCAUCUAGCCCUUUCUGUGAUGAAGGAUGAUAAGAGAGCAGACAAAGAGACGGAUUAGAGACAGAAGACCAACAAGACUCAACAACUGAUACAAGGCAGUACACAACUGGAUUUUGUGAUCUAGUUGUAACAUCCCAUUCAAGAUGAUAAAAGUUGAUUUUUUUUUAUGCCAGCAUUCCUUUAAUGAAUCACACUCGUGCUGAAUUUGUAGGAUUGGAAAACAGUGUAGCAGUGAAUGAAUUUGGAGGAAAGCUGAAAUUAUAUCUAUUAUAUAUUAGAAAUCAGAUAAAAGCCGAAGAGCCAAGUUUAUCUUCAGUAAGUCUCUAGCCGCUGUUACCUUCACCAAGGAGGUUUUUUUUCACCCGUGUUUGUUUGUUGGUUAGUUUGUUUAUUUAUCAGAAGGAUUAUGCAAAAAGUGCUGAGCCAGUUUGCAUCAAAUGUGGUGGAUGGAUGUGGAACGGGCCAGGGAAGAAGCCACUGAGGGGCUGAUCCAGGAUUUUUUUUUUAAUCACUUUCCUUAAUAUUGUGAGAUGAGGACAUUUUCUACAUUUUCACCAGUUCCUCAGGAGACAUAUUUGUGGCGUUGAGAUCUAUGAGUUUGUGCAGUUUGGUGCAGAACCUGAUAAUAAUCCAGAUCUGGAGGAACAAAAUGCUGAUUCUGCAUCACACACAUAGUUGUACUUACCAUGUUCAUGACAAAUAAAUUAUUUAUAUUAUGUGAAAACAUUGAUUCCAAGCCUGAGCUAUGUGGAAAUGAUCAGGUCUAUAUUUUAAAAGACAAUUGACAUCGAUUUGAUUGGUUGUCAGUGUUUAUUGCUGUCCCUGCAUUCACAUUAAACAGCAUUCAUUUGGCCUGGUGUCUCAGAGGUAAGGUGCUAAACAUGAGCCCUCCCCAGGGUCCAUUUCUCUCUCUCUUCUCUGUCUCUCUCUUCCCUCAUUAUCUGUCAUUUCUUUACAGACAACACUCAUAAUAAAAUUGAUCUGCACCGCGA